AGUCAUAUGCUUGUUUCAAAGAUUAAGCCAUGCAUGUCUCAGUGCAAGCCGAAUUAAGGUGAAACCGCGAAAGGCUCAUUAAAUCAGCUAUAAUUUAAUUGAUGGUACAAUCACUUUUACUUGGAUAACUGUGGCAAUUCUAGAGCUAAUACAUGCAAAACGAGUUCCGACCGCGUCGCCACGGCGGCGCGGAACGAAUGCUUUUAUUAGAACAAAACCAAUCGGAUCUUUCGACGGCCCGCGUCCGCAACGGGUAACGUCCCCGCGGACGAAGGCGCGAAAGCAAUCCGCAAAACUCUUGAUGAUUCUGAAUAACUUUACGCUGAUCGCACGGUCACGCGCCGGCGACGCAUCUUUCAAAUGUCUGACUUAUCAACUUUCGAUGGUAGGCUACGCGCCUACCAUGGUGAUAACGGGUGACGGGGAAUCAGGGUUCGAUUCCGGAGAGGGAGCCUGAGAAACGGCUACCACAUCCAAGGAAGGCAGCAGGCGCGCAAAUUACCCACUCCCGGCACGGGGAGGUAGUGACGAAAAAUAACGAUGCAGGACUCAUUCCGAGGCUCUGCAAUCGGAAUGAGCACACUCUAAAUCAUUUAACGAGUAUCCAUUGGAGGGCAAGUCUGGUGCCAGCAGCCGCGGUAAUUUCAGCUUCAAUAGCGUA
rnacentral:rRNA from 1 species